ACGCACGCUGGCGGCGUGCUUAACACAUGCAGGUCGAACGGUGAAGCGCCUUCCUUUUUGGUGGGUGUGGAUGAGUGGCGAACGGGUGAGUAACACGUGAGUAACCUGCCCCCUUCUUCUGGAUAACCGCAUGAAAGUGUGGCUAAUACGGGAUAUUCUGGGUCUGUCGCAUGAUGGGUCUGGGAAAGAUAUUGUUUCGGUGGGGGAUGGGCUCGCGGCCUAUCAGCUUGUUGGUGGGGUGAUGGCCUACCAAGGCGGUGACGGGUAGCCGGCCUGAGAGGGUGGACGGUCACACUGGGACUGAGACACGGCCCAGACUCCUACGGGAGGCAGCAGUGGGGAAUAGUGCACAAUGGGCGCAAGCCUGAUGCAGCGACGCCGCGUGAGGGAUGGAGGCCUUCGGGUUGUGAACCUCUUUCGCCAGUGAAGCAGGCCUGCCUCGUUUGUGGGUGGGUUGACGGUAGCUGGAUAAGAAGCGCCGGCUAACUACGUG
rnacentral:rRNA from 1 species